AUUGAACGCUGGCGGCAGGCCUAACACAUGCAAGUCGAACGGUAGCACAGAGAGCUUGCUCUCGGGUGACGAGUGGCGGACGGGUGAGUAAUGUCUGGGAAACUGCCCGAUGGAGGGGGAUAACUACUGGAAACGGUAGCUAAUACCGCAUAACGUCGCAAGACCAAAGUGGGGGACCUUCGGGCCUCACACCAUCGGAUGUGCCCAGAUGGGAUUAGCUAGUAGGUGGGGUAAUGGCUCACCUAGGCGACGAUCCCUAGCUGGCCUGAGAGGAUGACCAGCCACACUGGAACUGGGAAACGGUGCAGACUCCUACGGGAGGCAGCAGUGGGGAAUAUUGCACAAUGGGCGCAAGCCUGAUGCAGCCAUGCCGCGUGUAUGAAGAAGGCCUUCGGGUUGUAAAGUACUUUCAGCGGGGAGGAAGGCGGUGAAGUUAAUAGCUUCACCGAUUGACGUUACCCGCAGAAGAAGCACCGGCUAACUCCGUGCCAGCCGCCGCCGUAA
rnacentral:rRNA from 1 species